rnacentral:lncRNA from 1 species
UUGCUCAUCCAUGCAGGUCUCCUGCCCUCUUUGCUGGACUUCUUCCUCAGAGGGAUGCACAGAUCUUGAGCCUGGAGGAAGGGAUGUAUAUGUAUAUUAUACGAGUGCUCUUGAAGGAAAACUUAACAAGUUGCUCAAACACCUGCUUGCCAUGAGGCAAACACUGAGCUGA